rnacentral:lncRNA from 1 species
GUGGGGUACCACCCCCACCGGAGGAGAUGAUAAUGGUGAUAAUGGAAGUGGCAAUUGAAUGAAUAAUAUGUGUGUGUGUGUGUGUGUGUGUAAUAAUAUUGCGCGAAUAUGCUUUUGUUUUCCCUUCAUCUCUCCUUCUUAGUUCUUAACUAAUAGCUUGUGUGUUUUGAGGGUUUAGACGUACUAUGUAACAACGUUAUAUCAUGUCUGGCACGGUAAUUGAUAUAUGGAUUUUUGUUUAAUUUCAUAUAAAGAUCCAAAUUAAUCCAAUUAAUAACAAGCUGG